GGACACCCAUAGGACACCCAAACCCAAACUCCGGCGAGCCCAGUGGGUUUCAAGCAAGGAAACGGCCACCUCCGGCCAUUCCACGACAAUUAGGAGACUUAGAUUCGAGGCGUACAAUCCCGGCAUCAAGGCACUCCCGCAUUGGCAUCUUCGAAUCCUCUCGGUCAUGUACCUACCCUGGUAUUCGGGGAAUAUCAGGAUCGGGCGUGUCAUCAUCCCUUCAUCUUUGUACUUCAAAUCAAAAACUUCUAUCACCAGGUUAUGUGCAAGAGGAUCUCCUCCCUUAUAUCUGCUUGGCUUUCUUUAGAUUUUUUCUUUCCAAAGUAAAAAUAUCAAGACAAGUAGAGCAUUCAUUCCUGAAAAAUCAAAAAUUGUAAUCUUUCAAACUGAUCUUAUACACCUUGGCAAUAAUAAGUGCUGAGUUUAACACUUGUUAACUAGUUUUUAGUCUAUUGUUAUGUUUCUUCUUAAUGUUGAAAGAGAUCCUAAGUUCGAAUCUCAUUUUUCAUUGAUAAAUGAAAAACGCAGCUACAGAGUAUCUCAAAAAUUGAUGAAGCUGAAUAUUGGGUCGUUUAAAUGUAAUUUUGAUGUGGCAUGGGACGAAUAAAGGGGUGUUGUGGUGUUAGAGUGGUGAUUCGGAAUGAUAGCGGUGACUUUGUGGCAGCUAUGGCAACUAGGCAUGUCACUAUUUCCUCUCCUCAACUAGCCGACACUAUGGCAGCUAAGGAUGCGAUUUUUUUGGUCAAGGAGAGGCAACUACGAGCUGCAGUGUUUGAAGGUGAUGCGUUGCUUAUUAUGGUAGCCCAACAACAUGAUGGUCAUGAGGACUUUUCGCCGUUCGGAAUAUUCUAAAUGAUACUCGAUCGUUGAUUCAUUCAUUGCCUCAGUGGAAGAUUGGUUACAAGGGAAGGGAGAUGAAGAAAGUGGUGCAUAGAUUAGCACGAAUGAGUCUGAGUAGUGAGAAUUCUAUUCUUUGGUUUGAAGAACCUCCUGAUCUAAUUGUGGACCUUCUCUUUGAGGAUAGUUUUUCUUAAUUUGUUUGGCGUGGGACAUUUUUUUCCCUUCAACUGGGUUAAAAUCCCAGAUAAGGUUUUUAUCGAGGCCCAAUGUAUGCACCCUAUCAUCAUUGAUUGUACGUAUUCUCUUCUUUAUCGAAUAUCGUACCUUUUCUAAAAAAAAAGCUACACCUAAACUUGAACACAAAGGAGACAAUAUUUCAAACCAAUUAUGUGUUAACAGAAGCAUAAGUCAAAACGCAUGACAAAAAGUGAUGAGCUUCGGAUAUCAUCCCAAUUUGGCAUCACCCUCCAAAUUAGGAUUUCAUGAGCUUUGUCCUCUAAUCUUGGUCUUUUUACUUUAUGUGCAAAUAACUUACGUGCACCUAGAAUGUCAAAAUAUUAGUAUCACAAACAAAUCAUGCACUUUCAUGUGAGUAAAAAGUUAACAAAUAAAAGAAUGUUAUACGUUUCAGAUAUCUUGUCAAAUAAAACGUCAAAUUGACAACAUCACAAGUAAAUCAAUUUCCCUCCAAAGUUGCAAACUAGGGUUUUGUGAGCUUAUUCCUCUAAACCCAUUUGGGUUUAUUUGAGCCGUGAAUAAUGGUCCAUUCACUUAAGAAAGUUGCAUGGAUGACUCAAUUACUGCUGUAAAUAGCGGAUCCUAGUCCUCUAUGAUUGCAAGUUAUGCCAAGGACAGAGUGAGAAAACUGACAUUUUGUAAGGUCUCCUUGUAACAGCAAUAAGUGAACCAUGGUCUAUGGACCGCCACUAUUUGUGCCUACUCGUCAUGUACCACUUCUUAGUAGGUACUUGUAUCGAAGGAAAACCAUUCAUCAAUUGGAGAGGUGCAUGGCUAUGGAUCUGACGUGAUAAGUCAGGGCUAAAGGGGAAGAAAUGGAUGGUUUAUUCACUUCUUCUUGUUUUGGGGUAGAUGUAACACAAAAUCAUGUAAAAUCAUGUGACGUGUAUAGAUCAUCUAAUAGAGUGUACUGAGUGAGCAAAAAGAGUUGGUAGAUUCAUGCUGAUCACAAUAAAAAUGAGUGAAAACAAGAUUAGCAGUAAAUAUACAAUUCUUUUUAUAGUCGACUGACCGCAUUUGCUUUAAAGUGUAGUAAGUUUUUUUACUGUAUAUCUAUAAUUGUAAGGUUAAAGUAUUAACAAUACUAAUAAUAUCAAUUACGUAUCCACACAUUAAAAAGUGUAGUUAAUCACAUUGUAAAAAAAUUCGUUAAAUAUUUUCGGAAUGGGAAUAAAAUCACAUAUUAUAGUUAUUUGUUACUCUUGUAAGAUAAAGUAUAAUAUGAGUGAGAAUAUUAUAUGAUUUCUCUACAAGUUUAGUACAUUCUUGUAUGAUCAAAUAUGUGUAUCAUUUGACAUGAUAUGGGGGAUAAAAUAAGAGAUAUGAGAGUUCCUUUUUGGUAAAAGCAGUCCACCAGGAAAAGAAGUAGGUUUCAUUUUGCAAGUGUUUUUAAACGAUUGAAAAUUGUUUCAAAAACAUUUUCUUAAAAAACACUUACAAUAAUUUAAAAGCAUUUGUGAGACGAGCAAAUACAUAAGACAAUCCCUAUCACUUUCUCAAGGCCCAAGUUUAUGAAACCCAUAACACAUGGCCCAAACCAACAUAAUUUCUUCCUCUAAAAGAAGUGGCUUUUCGAAGAAUUCAAAUUAUGGGACAACGGCUAGUAAAAUCCACGAGAUGUCGCCAAGCAGAUCCACCUCUUCAGCGCCGCUCGUCUUUCUUCAUCAUGCAAGCAAAGGAGCAGCAAGCAUUCAAAAUCAAAGUUCAAGCCAAAUGCAAGAACUUCGAUUUCAAAUUUAAAUCGACACAAAUCGUGCCCGCUUGGAAGCUCCACCGAAUCUCGAUUUCCCUCAAGCUUCGCAAAUUUUUUCUCAGAGUGAAUUCAGAAUCCACAGUUCAUCAAACAAAAAAGAAUCCAGAAUUCGUAGCAUCAAUUUCUCGGCGGCAGCAACAUCAUCAGCAGCAGAAACAAUCCUUGAAAUCCAAACUCAGAAUUUUCAAGAAAUUAAUUAUUCACCGCUCUAAGAAGCCUCGGUGCCCAGAAGCUGAAUCCACUGUAUAUCGACUGAAACAGUUUGCUUAUGAGGUAUGCGUGAAUCACAGUUUAACACGUAUACAUUUUUUAUUUAUUUUGUUUAGUUUGGUUGUGUUGCUACUUCUAAUGGUUGGCUUAAAUAAUUAUCUAAAGUAUUGUGGAGAACUUGUUUGGGAUUGUAUUCGGAUGGCUUGGAACUUUGCACGGAUGGCCUAAGUUCUUAAUUUGAUUCACUUAUUGUUUCACAGCACUUUGUUACAACAAGAUUUUAUGAGGAUUUUGAGUGCUUAUA